rnacentral:tRNA from 1 species
AGGCUGAAGCCCGCUGGAUUGGGUGCCUAGUUGUUAACUAGGCUCUUACGGGAUCGAGGCCCGUCGGUCUAG